GGGCCCGCACAAGCGGCGGAGCAUGUUGCUUAAUUCGAUGCAACGCGAAGAACCUUACCUAGGUUGAACUACGCAGGAAAAGCUGCAGAGAUGCAGUGUCCGAAAGGGUCUGCGAUAGGUGGUGCAUGGCUGUCGUCAGCUCGUGUCGUGAGAUGUUGGGUUAAGUCCCGCAACGAGCGCAACCCUUAUUCCAUGUUGCCAGCGGGUAAUGCCGGGGACUCGUGGAAGACUGCCGGGGUCAACUCGGAGGAAGGUGGGGAUGACGUCAAGUCAUCAUGCCCCUUAUGCCUAGGGCUGCAAACAUGCUACAAUGGCCGAUACAAAGGGCUGCUAUUCCGCGAGGAUGAGCGAAUCCCAUAAAGUCGGUCUCAGUUCGGAUUGGAGUCUGCAACUCGACUCCAUGAAGUCGGAGUCGCUAGUAAUCCCGGAUCAGCAAUGCCGGGGUGAAUACGUUCCCGGGCCUU
rnacentral:rRNA from 1 species